UAGCAUAUAACUUAGUUGGUAGAGUGUUUGAUCGAUAAUCAAAUUGUCAGCAGUUCAAGUCUGCUUAUGCUAA
rfam:PVC group bacterium (ex Bugula neritina AB1) isolate AB1-3 AB834_contig000030, whole genome shotgun sequence.